UAAUGGCAUUAGUGAUAGAAACGGCAUCCUUUUGCUUUUGCAAAAGAUACAGUGAAUAGCACGCCUUUUU
rnacentral:sRNA from 1 species